rnacentral:rRNA from 1 species
UACGUAGGGGGCAAGCGUUGUCCGGAAUUACUGGGCGUAAAGCGCACGUAGGCGGCUUUCUAAGUCGGAGGUGAAAUCCUGGAGCUCAACUCCAGAACUGCCUUCGAUACUGGAGAGCUUGAGUCCGGGAGAGGUGAGUGGAACUGCGAGUGUAGAGGUGAAAUGCGCAGAUAUCAGGAGGAACACCAAUUGCGAAGGCAGCUCGCUGGAACGUUACUGACGCUGAGACGCGAAAGCGUGGGGAGCAAACAGG